rnacentral:lncRNA from 1 species
UAGCUCCCACCACUUCUGCCCUCGCGCCGCUCCUUCUCUCUCACACUCUGGAUCGAGCUAGCCCACGCACACCGGAGCGCGCCACCGUGAACCACCGCAGCCACCGCCCACCUCUCGCUAUGCUGAUUCGACCAGGAGACUUGUCGUCGUCCGCUUCGUCUUCCUCGCCCACGAGCUCAAGCCCGGAGCCAUCACAUCGACCGGGUGGAGGCCAUCUUCUUCCUCGGUCGUCGUCGUUGUUCUUCGUUGAUCCGUCGCCUCUGCAGCUCCUAAGCCACCAACGGGCCUUCGUGUGCCUCCGCGGUGAGCACCGCACCAUCCCCUUGUUGGGAAUAAGCCGAGGCGAGUCCAGGGACGCGGCGAGCGUGUGCGUGCGCGCGGUGGGCACAUCGGGUUUAGCUCGCGGCAGGGCUCGGGUGCGUGCGUGCGCGACCGAGCGUAGGUGUGUGUGUGUGCGUGGGCUCACGGGUGUGUGCGCGGGGCCAUGCGGUGCUGUUAGUGAGUUUAGGGGAGGUGUGGACUGCGUCGGGCGCGCGGGGUGGCCGUGGCGAUCGCGUUCGGGCACGAUGCGCGGGUGCGGCCAAAGCACGCGGGACGUGGGGGAGUGGGCAUGCGAGUUGGUGCGGGGCGUGGCCUGGCAGGCCGGUGCUCGCGGGUAUAAAGCCCUGGAUCCUCCCUGUAUCUUGUUGACACGGUCAAGUUCGUCCUCGAGGAAAGGAAAAGGCGUACGUGCGCCGGAAAACCCACAGUGUCCACCGUGUUCUCUGAAUUUUCUGAACUUCCGAUCAUCUUCUUCCUCCAGCUCCUGUCGUUCGUGCGCAGGGAGGGCGAGGUGAGGGAGAACUAGGGCUAGCUAGGGUUCGGGGGAGAGGCCACGAUGCCAACAUUUGGUAUCAGAGCAAUAGGUGACGGAGCUCGCCGGCGGAGAUGGCGCUGGUUCCACAUGGCGGCGGCACGGGCGGGUCGGUGUCCAUGGGGAUGCCGAUGCUCUCGCCGGACGGCUACACCGUGUGGGCGAUCAAGGAGCAGGCCAUCCUUGAUGCUCACGCGCUGUGGGAAGCGGUGGCGCCGGGCGACUCGCCGGUGAACAGCAAGAAGUGCAAGACGGCGCGAGCUCUGCUCUUGCAGGGGCUGCCGGAGGACGUGUUGCUCGCAGUGGCGACGAAACCCACUGCCAGGGAGGUAUGGGACUCCCUGUCGGUACGGUUCAUCGGCGCCGAGCGGGUGCGCACAGCGCGGAGGGCGACGUUGCGCAGCGAGCUUGAUCGGAUCAAGAUGGAGGACGGCGAGGCGCUGGACGCGUACGCUGGGAGGCUCGCGGGCAUGGCGGCGCGGUUCGCGGGGCUGGGGGAGACGCUGGCGGACACGGAGCUGGUGAAGAAGCUCCUGGACACAGUCCCGGACCGUCUCUUCCCGGUGGUCGCCGGAAUUGAGCAGUUCUGCAAGCUUGAGGAGAUCACCUACGACGAGGUGCUCGGGCGGCUGCGCGCGUUCGAUGAGCGUGUGCGGCACCGCGGGCAGAGCAGUGGCGAGUGCCAGGACGACCAGCUCUUGUACACUGCGGCGCAGUGGCGCGCGCGAGAGCGGCGUCAGGGCAAGGCUCGGGACGACGACGACGAUGCCGGCAGCGUGGCGACGUGGGAUGGCGGCAACAAGAAGGGCCGCUCCUACAUGUGUGGCGAGCGCGGCCACUUCAAGCGGGACUGCCCGGAGCUGCGUAGGGCGCCGGCGGAGGAGCGGGCUUUGGUGGCGGACGUCGACGUUGAGGACAACGGUCUCCUCUGUGCCUCGGCUUAGGGGGAGAGUGUUGGGAAUAAGCCGAGGCGAGUCCAGGGACGCGGCGAGCGCGUGCGUGCGCGCGGUGGGCGCGUCGGGUUCAGCCCGCGGCAGGGGUGCGUGCGUGCGCGACCGAGCGUAGGUGUGUGUGUGUGCGUGGGCUCACGGGUGUGUGCGCGGGGCCACGCGGUGCUGUUAGCGAGUUUAGGGGAGGUGUGGACCGCGCCGGGCGCGCGGGGUGGCCGUGGCGAUCGCGUUCGGGCGCGAUGCGCAGGCGCGGCCAGAGCGCGCGGGACGUGGGGGAGUGGGCAUGCGAGUUGGUGCGGGGCGUGGCCUGGCAGGCCGGUGCUCGCGGGUAUAAAGCCCUGGAUCCUCCCUGUAUCUUGUUGACACGGUCGAGUUCGUGCUCGAGGAAAGGAAAAGGCGUACGUGCGUCGGAAAAACCACAGUGUCCAUCGUGUUCUCUGAAUUUUCUGAACUUCCGAUCAUCUUCUUCCUCCAGCUCCUGUCGUUCGUGCGCAGGAAGGGCGAGGUGAGGGAGAACUAGGACUAGCUAGGGUUCGGGGGAGAGGCCACGGUGCCAACACCCCUCCUAGUUUCCCCCUCGAAUCCGUGCUCCAUGCUGCCGUCGCCAUCGUUGCCGUAGCUCGGCGCCGUAGCUAGGGCCAUUCCUGUGCCCCUCCGAACACAACAUCGUGCUCGGCGCAUCGCGAGGACGCCUUAGAACCCUCCCGCUCGCCCGCGGACCUUGCUUGCCGCCCCCUGGCUGCGAACCCCCUGCCUCACCCGGCACUCACCCGUGACAGCGCCAGCCGCUGCUGCUUUCUCCUUGCCGCUGCGCUGCUGCUUUGCGUUCAGCACUUCUGUUUGUGUUGUUGCUCUUUUGCCUGCUGCGGCCGCCGUUGCCCCUGUUCGCCGCAGCCGUUCGCGCCCAACGACGCCGGCGGCGCUCGCUGGGACCGCCUGCCUUCGCCACCGGCCCCGCAGCACGCGCACGCCGUGCAGCGCCGUGCCCCGCGCCCCGCGCCCAGCUCGUGUGCAUGCAUUUGCCGCUCUACUGAAAGUGCUGUUGCUGCUGAAUGUUACUGUAGCUAUAUGCUUAGCUUUAGGAUUUUUACACUGAGUAACCCCCUAAACAGCCCCUAAUCAGCGGUUAAACAGUUGUUAAUAUGUCUAAAAAAAUAUAUGGGAUGGUAGUACACUUGACAAGGCUCAAAUGUGAUCAUUGGACCAAAUCCAUUUGAUGCAUUGUUUAAACCAUAUGAAAAUCACAAAUUGCUAUCUUCUGCUAAGAGAAAACUCUCCCUGUGUUGUGUGUUGUGUGUGUGCCGUGCGUGUGGCCGGCUGGGUUCUGCCAAGUAGUGGCCGGCCCUUGUUAGUACUAGGUUUAGCUAGUAGUAUUAAUUACUUCUAAGUUAGUCUAGUAGUAGAUAACGUGUAGGCCCCAUUAAAUAAGUUAGGUUUAUUUAUUUGUUUAGGUAAAGAAUAUCUGACAUGUGGGCCACACCUGCCCUUUUGACUAGUCAAAUUGACUUGGUCAACUCGAAUUAAAAGUAAAUUAGAAAAUCUUUUAAAUCUUUGAAAAAUCUUAGAAAAUAAUCUGUAGCUCGGAUGAAAAUACUUUGUACAUGAAAGUUGUUCAGAACGACGAGACGAAUUCGGAUACGUAGUCCGUUCGUCUGUCACGCGUCCCUAGCAUAGCAAACCUGCAAACAUCCCCCUCUGUUUCAUCUGUUUGAAAAUGCCAAACUUUCGGAAAGCAUUCCCGGAUGUUUUCCCCCUUCGCCGGUAUCGUGUAGCAUUGCGUUAGUUCACCCCUAGCGCUGCUUAUUGUUUUGUCAUGCAUAGUAUUGCACUUGUUUGCUCUGUAUUUAUUGUUUCUUCCCCCUCUUCUCUUAGGUAGACCUCGAGACCGUUGCUGAUGCCACUGUGAUCGACUACGUCACCGACGACCCU